UUUUAAAUUAUUUAUUUGUAUUGCUAAAAAAUAGGUUGUCUGAUAAAAUAAUCAAACAGUGACACAUGAUAUGUUACGUGUACCUCAUGAUGACGUACAAAGACCAGUUUUAAACAGUAAAAAUGGAUGAAAUUUUUAACA
rfam:Gossypium hirsutum cultivar TM-1 chromosome 6, whole genome shotgun sequence